rnacentral:rRNA from 1 species
GACGAACGCUGGCGGCGUGCUUAACACAUGCAAGUCGAACGAAGAGCGAUGGAAGCUUGCUUCUAUCAAUCUUAGUGGCGAACGGGUGAGUAACGCGUAAUCAACCUGCCCUUCAGAGGGGGACAACAGUUGGAAACGACUGCUAAUACCGCAUACGAUCUAAUCUCGGCAUCGAGGAUAGAUGAAAGGUGGCCUCUACAUGUAAGCUAUCACUGAAGGAGGGGAUUGCGUCAGAUUAGCUAGUUGGAGGGGUAACGGCCCACCAAGGCGAUGAUCGGUAGCCGGUCUGAGAGGAGGAACGGCCACAUUGGGACUGAGACACGGCCCAGACGCCUACGGGAGGCAGCAGUGGGGAAUCUUCCGCAAUGGACGAAAGUCUGACGGAGCAACGCCGCGUGAGUGAUGACGGCCUUCGGGUUGUAAAGCUCUGUUAAUCGGGACGAAAGGCCUUCUUGCGAAUAGUGAGAAGGAUUGACGGUACCGGAAUAGAAAGCCACGGCUAACUACGUG